rnacentral:rRNA from 1 species
UACAGAGGGUGCAAGCGUUAAUCGGAAUUACUGGGCGUAAAGCGUGUGUAGGUGGUUUUCCAAGUCAGGUGUGAAAUCCCUGGGCUCAACCUAGGAAUUGCAUUUGAUACUGGAAGACUCGAGUGUGGUAGAGGGUAGUGGAAUUCCCGGUGUAGCAGUGAAAUGCGUAGAGAUCGGGAGGAACACCAGUGGCGAAGGCGGCUACCUGGACCAGCACUGACACUGAAGCACGAAAGCGUGGGUAGCGAACAGG